AUGAUGGACACGCUUUUCGUGCUUGGCCAGGAAUCCCGGCUGCGCAUCCUCCAGCAAGCGGCGUCGCGCGUCCCCGCCUGCGCCUACCUCUGCGUCUGGGCGCCGAUUCCGGCCGGCGGCCACCGUCCUACUCCUCCUUUCACCGCCGCCAACAGAGCUCGUCGCCAGCUGUUGUGCCUGGACGCAUGGCUCGGCGAUGGCGGCAGCGGUGACGUCGACCGCGAGCGCGCUCUGUUCGACGCAUACCGGGGUUCGCUCUGCGCGGCCGUAAGCGGGUGCGUGCCAGGGUGGGCUUACGAGGACGGCCGGGCGUACAUGGAGCUGUCGGAGCACGAACUGGCGGCCUCGGCGUCGUCGCCGGUGCAGCUGCAGUUCUACCAGGAAGCUGGCAUUAAGGUGGCGGCCUUCAUGGGAUGCGAAAGCGGCGAGAUCGAGGUCGGCAUGUCGACGCCGGCGGGACAGAUGAACCUUCAGGUCGGCCUCGGUCAGAUAUUCUCGGAGGAUUUCUUCCAGCAGUCGCUGCUUGAGGAACUGCUCCAGCUCCCGCCGACGCGGCCGUCGUCCUCCUCCUCCUCUCUUCCGUCCAUCUCCGUGGACAGCCCGGCAGACGGCUCGACGUCGCUGCUGCGCACCAUGGCCAUGUCGUCGUCCACCACGACGUCUCCCCGGGACCUAACGGCGGCACCUCUUCCCCACCCGCCCCGUCCGCGGCAUCCCGUGCCAUUUAGCCGGCACAGCCCUGCCCAUGUCCACGGCCACGUCCACUUCCCGAGCCCCGAGGCCGACGACGUCGCGAUGGCGCAGGCCAUGCUCGCGGUCAUCUCCGCCUCCUCCUCGUCGUCGUCGGCUAUGCCUACCACGCCCACGCCUCCGCUAGGCUACCGUCGCGCGCAUCGGUCGCCGGGCCGUGGCUCGAAGACGACGGCGUUCCGGCCGUACAACGCGGCGCUGGCGCCAAGGGCGCCGCGGCGGGCGUCGGACGCGCCUGGGCAGCGGAUGAUCAAGAUGGGCAUCUCUAUCCUCAGAAGGAUGAACACGCUGAACAACAACGGCCAGGAGCGCACCACCGGGACGACGACGCAGCGGUGGCGGGAGGAGGACGAGGAGGCCGCGCCCCCAGCCCCGACGAGCAGCCAGCUGCACCAUAUGAUAUCGGAGCGGAGGCGGCGGGAGAGGCUCAACGAGAGCUUUGAGGCGCUGAGAGGGCUGCUUCCUCCCGGAUCAAAGAAAGACAAAGCUACCGUCCUCGCCAACACUCUGGACUACAUGAACAUUCUGAUAGCCCAGAUUUCCGAGCUCGAAGCCAGGAACCGAAACCUCGAGACGGCGGCGCAACACCAACGCAUUACCAACGGCAACUCCAGGGAUAGGCCAGACCAAGCAGCCCUUCAAGCAGGCGGCUCGUCAAAGAGGGUACAAGUGGAGGUGGCCACUGGUAGCGCCGGCGCGUCAACGUCGUCCUCGUCGUUCUCCACGGGGCAGUGCCGUGAGGUGACCAUAAGGGUGGCGGCGGCAGGCGACCUGUCGGAUCUAGUGGCCCGCGUGCUGGCGCUGCUCAAGGACACGGCCGGCCACCGUUUCACGGUGGUCGCCGUCGACGCCAGGCAGCCGCAGGGCACCAGCGACGGCGGCAUUGCUCAGGCGAGCUUGACACUAAGAGCAACGGCUGCUGGCGAAUUCGACGAGGAGGCGUUGAAGGAUGCUGUCACGAAGGCUGUCGUUGGUCUGGUGACACCGCCGUCGUCCGACGAACUUUGA
rnacentral:rRNA from 1 species